AGCGCUCUUAGUUCAGUUCGGUAGAACGUGAGUCUCCAAAACCCGAGGUCGUAGGUUCAAAUCCUACAGGCGUGA
rnacentral:tRNA from 1 species